rnacentral:rRNA from 1 species
AAAAACUCCGGUGGUAUGAGAUGGACCCGCGUCUGAUUAGCUGGUUGGCGGGGUAACGGCCCACCAAGGCGACGAUCAGUAGCCGACCUGAGAGGGUGGCCGGCCACAUUGGGACUGAGACACGGCCCAAACUCCUACGGGAGGCAGCAGUGGGGAAUAUUGCACAAUGGGGGAAACCCUGAUGCAGCAACGCCGCGUGAGUGAAGAAGUAUUUCGGUAUGUAAAGCUCUAUCAGCAGGGAAGAAAAAAGACGGUACCUGACUAAGAAGCCCCGGCUAACUACGUGCCAGCAGCCGCGGUAAUACGUAGGGGGCAAGCGUUAUCCGGAUUUACUGGGUGUAAAGGGAGCGUAGACGGCAUAGCAAGUCUGAAGUGAAAGCCCGUGGCUCAACCGCGGAACUGCUUUGGAAACUGUUAAGCUGGAGUACUGGAGAGGCAAGCGGAAUUCCUAGUGUAGCGGUGAAAUGCGUAGAUAUUAGGAGGAACACCAGUGGCGAAGGCGGCUUGCUGGACAGAGACUGACGUUGAGGCUCGAAAGCGUGGGGAGCAAACAGGAUUAGAUACCCUGGUAGUCCACGCGGUAAACGAUGAAUGCUAGGUGUUGGCGGGCAAAGCCCGUCG